rnacentral:rRNA from 1 species
UACCUGUUCCCAUGUCGAACACAGAAGUCAAGCUUCUUAGCGCCGAGAGUAGUUGGGGGAUCGCUCCCUGCGAGGGUAGGACGUUGCCAU